UUGAAUGGAAUGCACUAGAAAGUGGCUUUUCAAUUGUUUGUAAAUUUUCCAGAGCAAAUUUUGUUUGUUCAUCUCUUACUUUCUCUCUCUAUUUUUGGGCUUGCUCUUCCGCGUUUCCUCUUCUAUUCUAAAAAAAUAGGAAUGUAAUGGUUGGCCACUUCGGAUUUCGCAGGAUUUUGAAGCUUAAAUUUGCUCGAAGAAAGUAGGAAAAAACAGGAAAUAAUCUGACUGAUAGAGGUGGACACACAAAUUCUGAAUAUGAGGAUUAAGACAUGCACAAAAGACAAAAAGCUUGGCAAGAAGUGUCUUGAAGAGGUCAUGAAAGAGUUUCAUCUUGCAAGAGCAUACUUCUUGCAAUACUUAUGUUCAACUGCCAAUCUCAUGCAGAUGUUGGAGCACCUAUAAUCUUUCUACUUGUGUCUUUCUAGCAAGCUACCUAUGUAACUUUGUUCCACAAACUAUGUCUCUAUUUUGCCUUUCCUACACACUACUCGUGUAACUUUGUUCCAGAAAUGAAUGUAAUAUAGUAUGAAGCAUAUCAUGUUAA